UACGUGCCAGCAGCCGCGGUAAUACGUAUGUCGCAAGCGUUAUCCGGAAUUAUUGGGCAUAAAGGGCAUCUAGGCGGCCAGAUAAGUCUGGGGUGAAAACUUGCGGCUCAACCGCAAGCCUGCCCUGGAAACUAUGUGGCUAGAGUACUGGAGAGGUGGACGGAACUGCACGAGUAGAGGUGAAAUUCGUAGAUAUGUGCAGGAAUGCCGAUGAUGAAGAUAGUUCACUGGACGGUAACUGACGCUGAAGUGCGAAAGCUAGGGGAGCAAACAGGAUUAGAUACCCUGGUAGUCCUAGCUGUAAACGAUGAUUACUGGGUGUGGGCAUGAAGAGUGUCCGUGCCGAAGCUAACGUGAUAAAUCGACCGCCUGGGGAGUACGGCCGCAAGGUUAAAACUCAAAGGAAUUGACGGGGACCCGCACAAGCGGUGGAGCAUGUGGUUUAAUUCGAAGCAACGCGAAGAACCUUACCAAGUCUUGACAUCCUUUGACCACUCUAGAGAUAGAGCUUUCC
rnacentral:rRNA from 1 species